CCCACACCCCAGCAAUGGUUGUGAAAGGGAAAAUAGCUUUUAUUGUGAAGGUCCACAGGCUGAAAGAUGCCGGGGAAAUGGAAAGCUGUGAGAAACACUUUUAGUGUGUGCCAGUAAAAAGAAGAGAGAGCUACAAGAAUGCUCUUCUUUAUGAUGACGAAGAUGGGAGGGGUAUGAAAAUAUUUGCAAACCAUUCCCAGAUUCUCACAUUCCCAGGGGCAAAAAGCAAUGAAACUUUGGAUCAGAGAGUUCCGCGGAGGCUGCCUCAUUCCUAGCAUUAAUCAGAACCCAGCCCGUACCUCAAUCUCCCCUUCAUGUUCGGCCUAAUGUCCUCUUUCGGCCACCAUCAAUUCAUAUUUUUUGUGUUCCUGACACUGAAAAAUGUGUCAAGAGGAAAGCUUACUAUGGUCAACAAGCAAACAUUAAUAAAAAUAUGAAUCAUAAAA